UACGGAGGGUGCAAGCGUUAAUCGGAAUUACUGGGCGUAAAGCGCACGCAGGCGGUUUGUUAAGCCAGAUGUGAAAUCCCCGAGCUUAACUUGGGAACUGCAUUUGAAACUGGCAAGCUAGAGUCUUGUAGAGGGGGGUAGAAUUCCAGGUGUAGCGGUGAAAUGCGUAGAGAUCUGGAGGAAUACCGGUGGCGAAGGCGGCCCCCUGGACAAAGACUGACGCUCAGGUGCGAAAGCGUGGGGAGCAAACAGG
rnacentral:rRNA from 1 species